AGUUAAUUAUUACUUAAGCACAGAAGUACAGAAUCCGGUUAACUAGUUGAGUAGUUAUAAUUGUUAUAGCAAAAAAAACGUAGGAAUACUAUUUGGUUGUAAAUGGGUGAUAGUUUUAUAGCUCACAGUGGUGGUCGUCACCAUUGCUAUAGUUUUUUUGAAGAUUUAAUGCAAUGCGUUAAAAAAGAAGGUGUAGAUAAAGUACUUUACAAGUGCCACGAAAAGAGAGAAGACUAUUUUGAAUGUAUGCUGGGAAACAAGAAGAGAACACGCGUUCAUAAGAUACUUAAACAACGCGAUCAACUGAUAAAAGAAGGAAAGUAUCCAAUACAAUAGCGAGAAAACGAAAUAACGUAUGAAAGUUUAUUAAAAAUUUCAAAGUGUUUUAGGGCAAACUACUAAUGCAAGAUUUUGUUUUUAAAUUUUCUUCGUGUAAAUUAAAAGAAAAAAAUAUUGAAAAAGUUA